GGCCAGGUGGUCAAGUGGUAAGACACCCGUGCUAAAUACUGUAUUCGUCCUAAGCUCGACGCGGGAGGAUCAGGUUCGAAUCCCGACCUGGCUA
rnacentral:tRNA from 1 species